CUCAACAAUAGCAGGGUGGUGGCAUCGCAGGCUCGGUUCUUCAGAUGAGCCUGGAGUUCACCGAGGCUAAGAAAGCAGCCCAAGGUCAUCCAGUAUGUUGGCAAGCGGAGCCAAAUUUCACUGUCUUUCCACCAGGAAACUUAGACGCUGUGGAGGAGUAGCAUCAUCAGAGUUCGCCCAUGUUGUAGCUGCCUUCAGACGCUUCUCCUUUUUGAAGAUGGAACCGGAUUCCAUUGCGUGCAGACGCCAUAUUGUGCUGGCCCAUUUCUCCGUCCCUGGGCCUCCAGCUGCCGUGAUUCAGUGGUAAUGGGCAGGAGUGUACGGAUAUCUCUUCAAGAUCCUACUUGAGUGUUUGAAACAGCACCUCACUUACUCUAUAGCCCAGCCUGGCCUCAAACAUAAUCCUCCUGCCUCUUCCUCCCAGAAUGCAGGGUUGAUUGGUGUGUCCCACCGUGUCUGACUCACUUCCAAAUGUUUUGGAUAUCUAUGUCCAGAAGUGAAAUUCCUUCCAAUAAAAAUUUUUUUCUUUUCUUUUUUUCGGAGCUGGGGACCGAACCCAGGGCCUUGUGCUUGCUAGGCAAGCGCUCUACCACUGAGUUAAAUCCCCAACCCUCCCAAUAAAUUUUUUUUAAUUAA